UCUACGGUGUGAUAAACGUCAUCGCUGUGGGAUCUUCGCCUCUACAAAGAAAAGGAUUACCGUGGGCUUCACGCCUGCAGCGCUUCGGCCGUGUGAACCUUUUUCGAGUGGCGAGUGUGUCUGGCUUCUAAUCGCCCUUGUGGCAAACACUUCAUCUGACAUCUGAGCUCAAAUCAGGUAGGACUACCCGCUGAACUUAA
rnacentral:misc_RNA from 1 species